rnacentral:tRNA from 1 species
GCCCGUGUAGCUUAGUGGUAAAGCAACGGUUUUGUAAACCGUUUACGGGUGUCCGAUCCACCCCACGGGCUCCA